rnacentral:rRNA from 1 species
GACAGAGGGUGCAAACGUUGUUCGGAAUUACUGGGCGUAAAGCGCGUGUAGGCUGUUCUGCAAGUCGGGUGUGAAAGCCCCGGGCUCAACCUGGGAAGUGCACUCGAAACUGCAGAACUCGAGUCCUGGAGAGGAAGGCGGAAUUCUCGGUGUAGAGGUGAAAUUCGUAGAUAUCGAGAGGAACACCGGUGGCGAAGGCGGCCUUCUGGACAGUGACUGACGCUGAGACGCGAAAGCGUGGGGAGCAAACAGGG